rnacentral:snRNA from 1 species
UGCAAUGAUGAGAUCUUA